rnacentral:rRNA from 1 species
GACGAACGCUGGCGGCGUGCCUAAUACAUGCAAGUCGAACGCUUCUUUUUCCACCGGAGCUUGCUCCACCGGAAAAAGAGGAGUGGCGAACGGGUGAGUAACACGUGGGUAACCUGCCCAUCAGAAGGGGAUAACACUUGGAAACAGGUGCUAAUACCGUAUAACAAUCGAAACCGCAUGGUUUUGAUUUGAAAGGCGCUUUCGGGUGUCGCUGAUGGAUGGACCCGCGGUGCAUUAGCUAGUUGGUGAGGUAACGGCUCACCAAGGCGACGAUGCAUAGCCGACCUGAGAGGGUGAUCGGCCACAUUGGGACUGAGACACGGCCCAAACUCCUACGGGAGGCAGCAGUAGGGAAUCUUCGGCAAUGGACGAAAGUCUGACCGAGCAACGCCGCGUGAGUGAAGAAGGUUUUCGGAUCGUAAAACUCUGUUGUUAGAGAAGAACAAGGAUGAGAGUAACUGUUCAUCCCUUGACGGUAUCUAACCAGAAAGCCACGGCUAACUACGUGCCAGCAGCCGCGGUAAUACGUAGGUGGCAAGCGUUGUCCGGAUUUAUUGGGCGUAAAGCGAGCGCAGCGGUUUCUUAAGUCUGAUGUGAAAGCCCCCGGCUCAACCGGGGAGGGUCAUUGGAAACUGGGAGACUUGAGUGCAGAAGAGGAGAGUGGAAUUCCAUGUGUAGCGGUGAAAUGCGUAGAUAUAUGGAGGAACACCAGUGGCGAAGGCGGCUCUCUGGUCUGUAACUGACGCUGAGGCUCGAAAGCGUGGGGAGCAAACAGGAUUAGAUACCCUGGUAGUCCACGCCGUAAACGAUGAGUGCUAAGUGUUGGAGGGUUUCCGCCCUUCAGUGCUGCAGCUAACGCAUUAAGCACUCCGCCUGGGGAGUACGACCGCAAGGUUGAAACUCAAAGGAAUUGACGGGGGCCCGCACAAGCGGUGGAGCAUGUGGUUUAAUUCGAAGCAACGCGAAGAACCUUACCAGGUCUUGACAUCCUUUGACCACUCUAGAGAUAGAGCUUCCCCUUCGGGGGCAAAGUGACAGGUGGUGCAUGGUUGUCGUCAGCUCGUGUCGUGAGAUGUUGGGUUAAGUCCCGCAACGAGCGCAACCCUUAUUGUUAGUUGCCAUCAUUUAGUUGGGCACUCUAGCAAGACUGCCGGUGACAAACCGGAGGAAGGUGGGGAUGACGUCAAAUCAUCAUGCCCCUUAUGACCUGGGCUACACACGUGCUACAAUGGGAAGUACAACGAGUCGCAAAGUCGCGAGGCUAAGCUAAUCUCUUAAAGCUUCUCUCAGUUCGGAUUGUAGGCUGCAACUCGCCUACAUGAAGCCGGAAUCGCUAGUAAUCGCGGAUCAGCACGCCGCGGUGAAUACGUUCCCGGGCCU